UUCCUCCCUUCCUCUUGAGUUUCCUGAGAGUGUCUCAGAUUUGAAACUCCUCCUUCUACUUUCCAUCUUUGGAAGAGUCCAAAUCAAGAAGAAGGAGGCACCUGAUCAACCAUCAAAGAAGGAUCAGCGCAGUACUAGCAUACUGUGCUGAUUUCUUGAAGCAGGACUUCUGAUCGAGAUUCGUGGGCUCAUGUGGAUGACUCUUAGAGGUCAGACACAUGUGCGGCUUACAACA
rnacentral:lncRNA from 1 species